rnacentral:lncRNA from 1 species
UUGAAUUUUUAAAAUUCAAGGUCUAUAGUAGGGGGUUCAAUAUACCGCAGGGGGGUCAAGAUACCAUGGCUAAGUAAAAUUUUCAAAAUAUCUUUUCCAGUAUAUUAAAUACAUACAAACUACUAAUUGGAGUAAUAUAACUAUGUUAAGAAUUUAGAAUAGCUUGAAUUUUUGAAAUUCAAGGUCUAUAGUAGGGGGUUCAAUAUACCACAGGGGGGUCAAAAUACCAUGGCUAAGUAAAAUUUUCAAAAUAUCUUUUUCAGUAUAUUAAAUACAUACAAACUACUUAUUGGAGUAUUAUAACUAUGUUAAGGAUUUAGAACAGCUUGAAUUUUUGAAAUUCAAGGUCUAUAGUAGGGGGUUCAAUAUACCGCAGGGGGGUCAAAAUACCAUGGCUAAGUAAAAUUUUCAAAAUAUCUUUUUCCAGUAUAUUAAAUACAUACAAACUACUUAUUGGAGUAUUAUAACUAUGUUAAGGAGUUAGAAUAGCUUGAAUUUUUGAAAUUCAAGGUCUAAAGUAGGGGGUUCAAUAUACCGCAGGGGGGUCAAAAUACCAUGGCAAAGUAAAAUUUUCAAAAUAUCUUUUCCAGUUUAUUAAAUACAUACAAACUACUUCUUGAAGUAUUAUAACUAUGUUAAGGAGUUAGAAUAGCUUGAAUUUUUGAAAUUCAAGGUCUAUAGUAGGGGGUUCAAUAUACCACAGGGGGGUCAAAAUACCAUGGCUGAGUAAAAUUUUCAAAAUAUCUUUUCCAGUAUAUUAAAUACAUACAAACUACUUAUUGGAGUAUUAUAACUAUGUUAAGGAUUUAGAACAGCUUGAAUUUUUGAAAUUCAAGGUCUAUAGUAGGGGGUUCAAUAUACCGCAGGGGGGUCAAAAUACCAUGGCUAAGUAAAAUUUUCCAAAUAUCUUUUCCAGUAUAUUAAAUACAUACAAACUACUUAUUGGAGUAUUAUAACUAUGUUAUGGAGUUAGAAUAGCUUGAAUUUUUGAAAUUCAAGGUCUAAAGUAGGGGGUUCAAUAUACCGCAGGGGGGUCAAAAUACCAUGGCAAAGUAAAAUUUUCAAAAUAUCUUUUCCAGUUUAUUAAAUACAUACAAACUACUUCUUGAAGUAUUAUAACUAUGUUAAGGAGUUAGAAUAGCUUGAAUUUUUGAAAUUCAAGGUCUAUAGUAGGGGAUUUGAUAUACCACAGGGGGGUCAAAAUACCAUGGCUAAGUAAAAUUUUCAAAAUAUCUUUUCCAGUAUAUUAAAUACAUACAAACUACUUAUUGAAGUAAUAUAACUAUGUUAAGGAUUUAGAAUAGCUUGAAUUUUUGAAAUUCAAGGUCUAUAGUAAGGGGUUCAAUAUACCGCAGGGGAGUCAAAAUACCAUGGCUAAGUCAAAUUUUCAAAAUAUUUUUUCCAGUUUAUUAAAUACAUACAAACUACUUAUUUGAGUAUUAUAACUACAAUGUAUGUUAAGGAGUUAGAAUAGCUUGAAUUUUUUGAAAAUCAAGGUCUAUAGAAGGGGGUUCAAUAUACUGCAGGGGGUCAAGAUACCAUGGCUAAGUAAAAUUUUCAAAAUAUCUUUUUCAGUAUAUUAAAUACAUACAAACUACUUACUGGAGUAUUGUAACUAUGUUAAGGAGUUAGAAUAGCUUGAAUUUUUGAAAUUCAAGGUCUAUAGUAGGGGGUUCAAUAUACCGCAGGGGGGUCAAAUUACCAUGGCUAAGUAAAAUUUUCAAAAUAUCUUUUCCAGUAUAUUAAAUACAUACAAACUACUUAUUGGAGUAUUAUAACUAUGUUAAGGAGUUAGAAUAGCUAGAAUUUUUGAAAUUCAAGGUCUAUAGUAGGGGGUUCAAUAUACCGCAGGGGGGUCAAAAUACCAUGGCUAAGUAAAAUUUUCAAAAUAUCUUUUCCAGUAUGUUAAAUACAUACAAACUACUUAUUGGAGUAUUAUAACUAUGUUAAGGAGUUAGAAUAGCUUGAAUUUUUGAAAUUCAAGGUCUAUAGUAGGGGGUUCAAUAUACUGCAGGGGGGUCAAAAUACCAUGGCUAAGUAAAAUUUUCAAAAUAUCUUUU